CGAUCUUGGCUCACUGCAACCUCCGCCUCCUGGUGUUACCGGGAGUCCUUGCUCCCAGAGCUCCCAAGAUGGUGGCCGGACACUUCCAAAAUGGCGGCAGCCCACUUCCAAGAUGGUGGUGGGCCACUUCCAAAAUGGCGGCAACCCACUUCCAAGAUGGUGGCAAGCCUCAUGUUCUCUGACUUGGGGUUCUUGGCCUCAUGGAUUCCAAGGAAUGGAAUCUUGAGCCAUGCGAAAUGAGAAAAAUCAAAAGCUAUGCAAAUAGAUAACGAAGAAUCAAUUCCAGGAAGAGGAAAAGGUGGGAGAGGCAUUUUACAGCUUAUCAAGAUCAAAGGACAGAGACCAUCUCUAAACAAAACCAAACCCUGAAACUCACCAUCACAGAACUACGUCAAAAGGGAUGACAAGUGUUAUCACAAUGGCAAUUGAGCUGAUAAAAUUCCAGUAAAAUGAAACCUAGAAUCAAGUUGUCUACUCAAGAGAAUGCAACAUUUGAGUAGGCUCUUGAAGCAUGCAUAGAAGCUAACCAAGCGGAAAAGAAGGAGGAAAAUUCCAGAGUGUCAACAGCAUGUGCAGAGACCUGUAGUCUUGUGGGAGACAAGGAACCAGCCACUGGUGAACCACAAGACAGAGCAUUCCUGACCUGGUCCUCAGCCACAGUCUGCCUGUACUUCCUGCUCUCUGGGUUCUUGUGGUGUCUACCUGUUGCAUGGUGGUCAAGGAUGACGUCCUCUUGGCCCUGCACUUGAUGGAUCAGCUGGCACCACCCAGAUCCAUAAACUGGCUCAUCCGAUCUCGUGGCCUCCACCUAGGAACUGACUCAGCACAAGAUGACAACGUCAACUCCCUAUGAUUUCAUCACUGACCGACCGAUCGGCACUCACAGCUCACUGGCUUCCCCCCUCCCGGUAAGUUGUCCUUAAAAACUCUGAUGCCAGGCCUGGC